rnacentral:rRNA from 1 species
AGACCCGAAACCCGGUGAUCUAGCCAUGGGCAGGUUGAAGGUUGGGUAACACUAACUGGAGGACCGAACCGACUAAUGUUGAAAAAUUAGCGGAUGACCUGUGGCUGGGGGUGAAAGGCCAAUCAAACCGGGAGAUAGCUGGUUCUCCCCGAAAGCUAUUUAGGUAGCGCCUCGUGAAUUCAUCUCCGGGGGUAGAGCACUGUUUCGGCUAGGGGGCCAUCCCGGCUUACCAACCCGAUGCAAACUGCGAAUACCGGAGAAUGUUAUCACGGGAGACACACGGCGGGUGCUAACGUCCGUCGUGAAGAGGGAAACAACCCAGACCGCCAGCUAAGGUCCCAAAGUCAUGGUUAAGUGGGAAACGAUGUGGGAAGGCCCAGACAGCCAGGAUGUUGGCUUAGAAGCAGCCAUCAUUUAAAGAAAGCGUAAUAGCUCACUGGUCGAGUCGGCCUGCGCGGAAGAUGUAACGGGGCUAAACCAUGCACCGAAGCUGCGGCAGCGAACGUAUCACCCAAGACAACUUUACGGAGUUGACGAUUGACGGAGCGAAGCGACGUCAAAGCGUUCAUUAAAGUCGAGUUGGCUUAGGGAUACGUUCGUUGGGUAGGGGAGCGUUCUGUAAGCCUGUGAAGGUGUGUCGUGAGGCAUGCUGGAGGUAUCAGAAGUGCGAAUGCUGACAUAAGUAACGAUAAAGCGGGUGAAAAGCCCGCUCGCCGGAAGACCAAGGGUUCCUGUCCAACGUUAAUCGGGGCAGGGUGAGUCGACCCCUAAGGCGAGGCCGAAAGGCGUAGUCGAUGGGAAACGGGUUAAUAUUCCCGUACUUGGUGUUACUGCGAAGGGGGGACGGAGAAGGCUAUGUUGGCCGGGCGACGGUUGUCCCGGUUUAAGCGUGUAGGUGUGUGUUCCAGGUAAAUCCGGUUCACUUUAACACUGAGGCGUGACGACGAGGCACUACGGUGCUGAAGCAACAAAUGCCCUGCUUCCAGGAAAAGCCUCUAAGCAUCAGGUAACACGAAAUCGUACCCCAAACCGACACAGGUGGUCAGGUAGAGAAUACCAAGGCGCUUGAGAGAACUCGGGUGAAGGAACUAGGCAAAAUGGUGCCGUAACUUCGGGAGAAGGCACGCUGACACGUAGGUGAAGUGAUUUACUCAUGGAGCUGAAGUCAGUCGAAGAUACCAGCUGGCUGCAACUGUUUAUUAAAAACACAGCACUGUGCAAACACGAAAGUGGACGUAUACGGUGUGACGCCUGCCCGGUGCCGGAAGGUUAAUUGAUGGGGUCAGCGUAAGCGAAGCUCCUGAUCGAAGCCCCGGUAAACGGCGGCCGUAACUAUAACGGUCCUAAGGUAGCGAAAUUCCUUGUCGGGUAAGUUCCGACCUGCACGAAUGGCGUAAUGAUGGCCAGGCUGUCUCCACCCGAGACUCAGUGAAAUUGAACUCGCUGUGAAGAUGCAGUGUACCCGCGGCAAGACGGAAAGACCCCGUGAACCUUUACUAUAGCUUGACACUGAACAUUGAGCCUUGAUGUGUAGGAUAGGUGGGAGGCUUUGAAGUGUGGACGCCAGUCUGCAUGGAGCCGACCUUGAAAUACCACCCUUUAAUGUUUGAUGUUCUAACGUGGACCCGUAAUCCGGGUUGCGGACAGUGUCUGGUGGGUAGUUUGACUGGGGCGGUCUCCUCCUAAAGAGUAACGGAGGAGCACGAAGGUUGGCUAAUCCUGGUCGGACAUCAGGAGGUUAGUGCAAUGGCAUAAGCCAGCUUGACUGCGAGCGUGACGGCGCGAGCAGGUGCGAAAGCAGGUCAUAGUGAUCCGGUGGUUCUGAAUGGAAGGGCCAUCGCUCAACGGAUAAAAGGUACUCCGGGGAUAACAGGCUGAUACCGCCCAAGAGUUCAUAUCGACGGCGGUGUUUGGCACCUCGAUGUCGGCUCAUCACAUCCUGGGGCUGAAGUAGGUCCCAAGGGUAUGGCUGUUCGCCAUUUAAAGUGGUACGCGAGCUGGGUUUAGAACGUCGUGAGACAGUUCGGUCCCUAUCUGCCGUGGGCGCUGGAGAACUGAGGGGGGCUGCUCCUAGUACGAGAGGACCGGAGUGGACGCAUCACUGGUGUUCGGGUUGUCAUGCCAAUGGCACUGCCCGGUAGCUAAAUGCGGAAGAGAUAAGUGCUGAAAGCAUCUAAGCACGAAACUUGCCCCGAGAUGAGUUCUCCCUGAGAC